rnacentral:rRNA from 1 species
UACGACGGGGGCUAGCGUUGUUCGGAAUCACUGGGCGUAAAGCGCACGUAGGCGGGUCGUUAAGUCGGGGGUGAAAUGCCAAGGCUCAACCUUGGAACUGCCUUCGAUACUGGCGAUCUCGAGUCCGGGAGAGGUGAGUGGAACUCCGAGUGUAGAGGUGAAAUUCGUAGAUAUUAGCAGGAACACCGGUGGCGAAGGCGGCUAUCUGGCCAAUCACUGACGCUGAGGCGCGAAAGCACGGGGAUCAAACAGG